rnacentral:rRNA from 1 species
UACGUAGGUGGCAAGCGUUGUCCGGAUUUACUGGGCGUAAAGAGCGCGCAGGCGGUCGUUCAAGUCGCGUGUGAAAGCCCCCGGCUCAACUGGGGAGGGUCACGCGAUACUGAUCGACUCGAAGGCAGGAAAGGGAAGUGGAAUUCCCGGUGUAGUGGUGAAAUGCGUAGAGAUCUGGAAGAACACCAAAGGCGAAGGCAGCGUCCUGGGAAGUGACUGACGCUCAUGUGCGAAAGCUAGGGGAGCGAACGGG